AAAAAUAUUAUAUAAAAUAUGAUUAGUCAAAAUAAACUAAACAUAUUCAAUUUUUUCCAAGAAAUUUGAAAAUAUCACUUCAAAUGAAAACAAUUUUUUGGGAUAAAAUUCACUUAAAGUAAAAAAUAAAAAUAUAAAUUAUUUUUCCACGCACAAAAAAAAAUAUAUAUAAUCUAUAUAUUGAAAAAUCAAUUCAUAAUAUACUGUACAAAGUUUUCAAGACCAAAGGCUUCUUAAAUAUAGCAC
rnacentral:lncRNA from 1 species